rnacentral:rRNA from 1 species
UGAGAGGAAGCUCCCCCACAUGGGAAUUGAGCCACGGUCCAAAUUCUUAGGGGAGGCAGAUGUGAGGAAUAUUGGUCAAUGGGGGAGAGCUUGACCCAGCCAAGUAGCGUGCAGGAGGAGGGCCUUAUGGGUUGUAAACUGUUUUUAUAAGGGAAUAAAGUGAGUCUGGUGAGAUUUUUUGCAUGUACCUUAUGAAUAAGGAUCGGCUAAUUCCGUGCCAGCGGCCGCGGUAAUACGGAAGGUCCGGGCGUUAUCCGGAUUUAUUGGGUUUAAAGGGAGCGUAGGCUGGAGAUUAAGUGUGUUGUGAAAUGUAGAUGCUCAACGUCUGCACUGCAGCGCGAACUGGUUUCCUGGAGUACGCACAAAGUGGGCGGAAUUAGUGGUGUAGCGGUGAAAUGCUUAGAUAUCACGAAGAACUCCGAUUGCGAAGGCAUCUCACGGGAGCGCAACUGACGCUGAAGCUCGAAAGUGCGGGUAUAGAACAGGAUUAGAUACCCUGGUAGUCCGCACGGUAAACGAUGGAUGCC